rnacentral:rRNA from 1 species
GACGAACGCUGGCGGCGUGCUUAACACAUGCAAGUCGAACGGAAAGGCCCUGCUUUUGUGGGGUGCUCGAGUGGCGAACGGGUGAGUAACACGUGAGUAACCUGCCCUUGACUUUGGGAUAACUUCAGGAAACUGGGGCUAAUACCGGAUAGGAGCUCCUGCUGCAUGGUGGGGGUUGGAAAGUUUCGGCGGUUGGGGAUGGACUCGCGGCUUAUCAGCUUGUUGGUGGGGUAGUGGCUUACCAAGGCUUUGACGGGUAGCCGGCCUGAGAGGGUGACCGGCCACAUUGGGACUGAGAUACGGCCCAGACUCCUAAGGGAGGCAGCAGUGGGGAAUAUUUCACAAUGGGCGGAAGCCUGAUGCAGCAACGCCGCGUGCGGGAUGACGGCCUUCGGGUUGUAAACCGCUUUCGCCUGUGACGAAGCGUGAGUGACGGUAAUGGGUAAAGAAGCACCGGCUAACUACGUG